CCUACGGGGGGCUGCAGUGGGGAAUAUUGGACAAUGGGGGGAACCCUGAUCCAGCCAUGCCGCGUGUGUGAAGAAGGCCCUCGGGUUGUAAAGCACUUUCAGUGAGGAAGAACGCCUGGUGGUUAAUACCCAUCAGGAAAGACAUCACUCACAGAAGAAGCACCGGCUAACUCCGUGCCAGCAGCCGCGGUAAUACGGAGGGUGCGAGCGUUAAUCGGAAUUACUGGGCGUAAAGCGCGCGUAGGUGGCUUGAUAAGCCGGUUGUGAAAGCCCUGGGCUCAACCUGGGAACGGCAUCCGGAACUGUCAAGCUAGAGUGCAGGAGAGGAAGGUAGAAUUCCCGGUGUAGCGGUGAAAUGCGUAGAGAUCGGGAGGAAUACCAGUGGCGAAGGCGGCCUUCUGGACUGACACUGACACUGAGGUGCGAAAGCGUGGGUAGCAAACAGGAUUAGAUACCCGGGUAGUC
rnacentral:rRNA from 1 species